AGGAUUAUAGUUAACUAUAACAUUUGAUUUGCAAUCAAAAAGUAUUGAAAAUUCAAUUUAUCUUA
rnacentral:tRNA from 1 species